rnacentral:rRNA from 1 species
GAUGAACGCUAGCUACAGGCUUAACACAUGCAAGUCGAGGGACCGGCGCACGGGUGAGUAACACGUAUCCAACCUGCCCUUUACCCGGGGAUCGCCUUUCGAAAGAAAGAUUAAUACCCUAUAUAAAGGAUGGGGAUGCGUUCCAUUAGGUUGUUGGUGAGGUAACGGCUCACCAAGCCUUCGAUGGAUAGGGGUUCUGAGUGGAAGGUCCCCCACAGUGGAACUGAGGCACGGUCCAAACUCCUACGCGAGGCAGCAGUGAGGAAUAUGGGGCAGUGGGCGCUAGCCUGAACCAGCCGCGUAGCGUAAAGGAUGAAGGCUUAUGGGUCGUAAACUUCUUUUAUAGAAGAAUCUGUAUUAUAUGAAUAAGCACCGGCUAACUUCGUGCCAGCCGCCGCGGUAAUAC